AUGUAUAUGCUCACUUUGGCAGCAAAAUUGGAACAAUACAGAGAUUAGCACAGCCCCCGCAUAAAAAUAACAUACAAAUUCAUGAAGCAUUCCAUAUUUUU
rnacentral:snRNA from 1 species